rnacentral:rRNA from 1 species
UACGUAGGGUGCGAGCGUUGUCCGGAAUUAUUGGGCGUAAAGAGCUCGUAGGCGGCCUGUCGCGUCGGUUGUGAAAGCCCGGGGCUUAACCCCGGGUCUGCAGUCGAUACGGGCAGGCUAGAGUUCGGUAGGGGAGAUCGGAAUUCCUGGUGUAGCGGUGAAAUGCGCAGAUAUCAGGAGGAACACCGGUGGCGAAGGCGGAUCUCUGGGCCGAUACUGACGCUGAGGAGCGAAAGCGUGGGGGAGCGAACAGG